rnacentral:lncRNA from 1 species
GGGGUAUAUAACACCCCAUGGAAGAAACGGAGGGCCAAAUAAAAAUAAUUAUAACUUUCCAUUGUGAAGUGAAACAAGAUUGAUUCGAAAGGUUCAGAUAUCAUGCAACUUUCUUUAUUAAACAAUAAUUAUUUGUAUGACUUUGUUUCUUAUAGCACGUGUGUGUGUGUGUAUGUAUCCGUGGGAAAGAACACCUGUUAACCAUUCUCUUCAGCAGUCAACAAUUAUAAAUAUACAUUAAAUAAUAAUUUAUGGUUUGUUGUAUAUGUAUAUAGAUAUAACCAAGGAAUGGUUAUGCGCUCUCUUUUUCUCCCUUCCUCAUUAGUUUACCUUCUUUUUUCACUGUGCGUUUCUACAACAACUCUAUAAAAAAUGAUUUUGGGUGAUUCUUCAUGGAGAAAAUGUUGUUUGAAAGAGGGGGUAGAAAGUAAAAAAGUGUAUAAGGAUAUUACAGAAGAAGAAGAAGAAGAAAUAAGUACCAUCAUACAAAGAAGGAGAGUUGAUAUCACGAUGCGACGAUAUGCUCAGGGCGCCCUCAUUUCUCUCUUUACCACUACUACCAAGACAAUAAGAGGCUUAUGUAUAUGAUUUGACUAUUUAGUUAUGCAAAAACCUUCUGACCGUGUGAUCCUUAAUUCCUCUCUAGCUUAGUUCCACAUUAUACCCAAGUAGACAUUAUUAUAUCUAUAUUAAUCCAUGGUUGAACAACAUUAUCCAAGCGGCAACAAAUGAAAUUAGAAAUGGACACAGGAGAUGCUCUCUCGCUCCAACUCAGCCUAUCAACCCCUCAACUCAUUCAACAUCUCUUUCUCUUCGAGUAAUAAUCACAGAUAUUACAAAAAUUUCAUAACUAGCAUCAAAAUUAAUCCAGAGGACGAAAGUGUUCCCCUCACAGGGGAAUCUAGUGUGGCUCUUGGAGCCUCUCAAGAGCAAAUGAUAUCAGAUAAAUUUGAACUAACGAAUAUCGCAGUUAUUAGCUCACAUCAUCCCCCUUAUCGGACUACUACAACCACUAAUGUGAUGAAUAAUAAUGCCAAUUCUUCCUCCUGUUCUGGAGCGGGAGGACCUCGUGGAUCACUGGCUAAAGACUUUAUCGUCACAAAUGGUGAGGAAAAGGGGAAUUGGACAAACUUUCACUUUAUUAUGUGUAUCGGGAUCGUUGGGUUUUUUUCUUUUGGAUUGUGCUCCUUUGUCGAAUGUAUCUUCCUGCGGAAUUUCAAACAUGGAUCUAUGGAGGGAAGUCCUCUAAGAAUGUUCUUCUUCUAGGGGACAAAGGAGAAAGGAGGAACUUAAGCCUCAGUGUCCUACCUUCUUCCUCUCCAUAUAGUGAUGAUGAUAAAGACGAUUUUCAACAGUCUCUCUAGUCCUCGUUGUACCCUAAUACAUCAGCAGGACAAGCUACAAACCAGCUCCUACACAAAUAAUGGAUUUGAUACAAAAAUACAUUAGUUACCUUAUCUACAAAAACAAUUCUAUCUGUGCAUUUAUUUGUAUAUUUAGAGGGAAAUCUAUGCAGGUACUUUGGAGCCGUGUCCAAGACCAAUCCUAUCUCUAGAUCCAGACUAAACUUGUACCGUAUUAGUUCGGUCUACCAAAAGUAUAUAUUGAUCUCAGACCGGUCUAGCAUGGAUUUUCAAACUGAAACACAAGCCUAGUACAACUAUGAAUAAUAUAAAUACAUAUGUUACAACAAGGAAACAUAAAAUUUAUUUUAUUGUGUUCAGGAAAAUGACAAAUAAAAAUAAAUCAUAUGAAUUUUUUCAUCCAAAAAAAUGAAAAAAAGUUGUAUGUGUACAAUAAUGUACAUAGAAUCAUAAAUAUGUUAUUUUGAACAUAGCAAAGAAAUCUUUAUAAGUUUUUGUCAUGCUCUGAAAAUACAAUGCAAUGAUUUACACAAUACCCCUACAAAACCAAAUAAUGAUAAUGGCACUCGUUUCGAGGAAGGAGUUUUGAGCAGACUCAGCUCAGAUUUACAUAAUACAAAAGCUAUUUUAGACAUUACUAUUAUCAUAAGGAUACAAUGAAGAGGAAAUUAUAUACUAUAAGUAGAAGUUAUACAUUCCCUAUUCCUACAAAAAGACAUGACAGAAACAUUCAGGAAGAACGACGAUGCAUGUAUAAUGUACAUUAGCCUGUUCCGCUUUCGAGGAUAUUUUUGGAUCAAAAUUGAUCAUUUUUAAACUUCUUGUACCCUUCAAUGGUAUUCUAGAGACCAGGAAAUAUCCUGCAGACUUUUUAUUCCCACAUGAGGCGAAUGAAAAAAGAGUGAUUGGUUAAAGAAAGAAAAAAAGACUCAACCACAUUUUAUACUUUAUUCCUUCAAGAAGUGAAAUUAAGAAAAAUAAGAUAAGCUAAGCUACACACACGAUUAUUCCAUUUGUUUAAAGUUCCAUAACCGUCCCAAAUAUGAUACUAUGAACAAAGAUUCAAAUAAAUGCCGGUAUGGAAGGAAAAAAAGAGAAACCAAAACAACCUUGACAGUUUGAAGAAUUCUAUGGAGAGGAACAGCUUAGCUGUCAUGAAUUUACAUUAAAUUAGCUGGACACAUCUGGGAGAUUAAGCAAGUAAACACUAAGACUGAUCCCGUAUCUAGCAAUGAUGAAGGAACGAGUUAUCCCAUCGUCGAUCCUCAUUUCUACUUCAAGUCUAAGAAGGACUUACAUAAAUAACUCCACAACAAAUCUUUUGAGUUGCUUUUUGCCUUACGUGAUUAUUUUAUACUUGUUGUUCUCUCUUUAGAAAUAAAAUAAAUUAAAAGUUAUUAUGA